AUGAAGGGUAGAAAGAAGAAGUACACAGUAAAUCUUGAAAAAAGGAUUUGUACUUGUGGUUACUUUCAACUGGCAGGCCUCCCUUGUUGUCAUGCUAUUGCAGCUAUAUACAAGAGUGGAAGAAAGGUAGAUGACUACAUAGACAAGUGCUACUGGAUUGAGACUUUCAAUAAAAUUUAUGAGCAUUGUCUCCAGCCUGUUCUAGGAGAAGAGAACUGGCCUGUGUCUCAAAACCCUAGGCCAGUUGCACCUGGAUACGUUGCCAUGCCAGGAGCAAGGAAGAAAAACAAUGAUAGAAGAAGAGAAGAGGGUGAAGCUCCAAAGGGAAAGAAAAUGAGCAAGCAUGGCAUACAGAUCACUUGUGGAUCUUGUGGAAGUAAGGGACACAACAAAAGUGGUUGUAAAAAGAAUGGGGAUAGAACCCAGAAAACUAAAGCAUAUCUUGGAAAAAGAGGGAGGAAGCAAAGGGAAACAGAGGUGCUAAUAUGAUCAUUGCUCUGCUUUUCUUACUUUUGAUCUAUGCUUAGUUUUGCCCAAAUACAUACUUAA
rnacentral:rRNA from 1 species